UGGGGAAUAUUGCACAAUGGAGGGAACUCUGAUGCAGCGACGCCGCGUGAACGAAGAAGGCUUUCGAGUCGUAAAGUUCUUUUAUAUGGGAAGAUAAUGACGGUACCAUAAGAAAAAGCCCCGGCUAACUACGUGCCAGCAGCCGCGGUAAUACGUAGGGGGCUAGCGUUGUCCGGAAUCACUGGGCGUAAAGGGUUCGCAGGCGGAAAUGCAAGUCAGGUGUAAAAGGCAGUAGCUUAACUACUGUAAGCAUUUGAAACUGCAUAUCUUGAUAAGAGUAGAGGUAAGUGGAAUUUUUAGUGUAGCGGUGAAAUGAGUAGAUAUUAAAAAGAAUACCGGUGGCGAAGGCGGCUUACUGGGCUCAUUCUGACGCUGAGGAACGAAAGCGUGGGUAGCAAACAGG
rnacentral:rRNA from 1 species